GAUGGCCUGCUUUCGUAUUUUAGAUAAUGAAUAAUCAACAGCAUCAUGUAAUACAUGUUGCGGAAGGGUAUGCGCAUACAGUAUCUGAAGGGUCUCCCGAGGCGCCUAAGGCACUGCAUCUCAGUACUAAGGCAGCGGCAUUACAGACCCUGGUUCAUUUCCAGCAUGUAUCACAACCGGCCGUGAUUGGGAGCCCCAUAGGGCGGCACACAAUUGUCCCAGCGUCAUCCGUUUAGGGUUCGGCCGGGGUCCCUUCCCUCAGGAUGCAAAGAAUUAAGAUUAAUUGAAAGAGCCAAUCGCUCCAAUCCACGUUCCGACCCAGCUCUGCUGGUGACCCCCGACAACGCCGUGUGUGUCUGUGCUCUAGGUAUCCAGGUGCAAACUCCUCCUAAACCCGUCCCCUCAGUGCCUCAUCCAAUGACAACACGUGUCAUUCUCAGCCGCCCACUCGCACUGAGUA